rnacentral:lncRNA from 1 species
ACUAUUAUUACACAACAUCUCUUACCAAAUCAGAUCAUCUUCGAUAAGAAGAAUCACUGUCAACUAUUCCAGCUUGCACCAACCUCAUCAACUUUCCUGAACACUCCUCGACCACUGGAUCCUCAUCUCUGUCACCUCGCCUAGCAUUAGCCUUACUCACAAUCUCAAUCAAUCAUCUCCUCUUUAAGCCUUUCUGAAAUGGUUAGAAAGGAAUAGCAAGGGUGAGCAACAAUGCUCAGCAAGUAAUAAUAAACAAUGAUAGUUCUGAAAUGAUAUAAUAGAAUUUCACGAGUUCAAGAUAUAAAAGGGUUCAACCUGAGUUCACGAGUUUAGGUAUUGUAUAAGAACACCACAAUACCUUGCAGCAAUUGAAUACUGAGGAAUUCAAUCUUUCCAAAAGAAUUAUUGAAUUGGACUAUCACAUUUUAAUUAAAACCAAGGUUAGGCAGCUGAUCAGUUCCGCACUAACCCCGAGCAGGCCCCGCCAUGCUCUAUCACUGGAUCCAAGGCACUCAUUGGCCUAACAUGACCACGAAUCUGGUCCACAGGUUUAUAUAAAAACAAUAAUCCAAUUCUCUAAUUCAAUUCAAGAAGCCAAUGUAAAUCAACAGAACAUCAUCAUAAUCAUCAUCAACAACUGAAUAAUUUCAAAUCAAACUUUGAUAAUAAACUUUUCAUAAGUCACAGUCCAUUCUUUCAUAAAUCAUCGUUCAGGAAAUCCCUAACUAUUCAAUAUCCUCCAUUAUCUGCUAAGCAACUGAAUUUAGCCUGCUAAACCAGCAUGACAAUGGCGGGUUGAAUAAUCAAGAAGAUCCCAAUUCAUUCAAAGCUCUAACUAUCACUGAGCAACACAUGCUUCAAUGACAAUCUGAACUUCGAAUUAAUUUGUAAAACGGAAAUUCUUUAGAAACCUGAAGAUUAGAAAGAAUGGUUCAGAAUACUCGCACUUUCGAACAUUGAAAAGAAAGGUAUGAAUACUUGAAACAUAUACCAAAGGAAUGGAUCAGAAUAUUUGCAAUAUAUCCAAGAGAAAGGUUUAGGAUACUUGCAACACAUCAAAAGAAUGAAUCAGAAUAUUUGCAAUAUAUCCAAAAGCAGGGUGCAGGAUACUUGCCUUAAAUCUGACUCCAGUCUCACAUCUCAAUCUCAUCUUUCCACUUUCACAAUCUAUGCAUCUCAUAGUCUCUAGACCAUCUCUGGCUAUACUCUAUCUACCGUACAUCUUCGCUUCGCUUACUCGAUUCAUCCCUUAUUCGCUUUGCAAUACCAUUCUGACUUUUUGACGUCUUCUAGCGUACACGUCUCCUCCAAAUCCUUUACGAGAAUAAGAUAAUACUAUAGUCACUAAACAAUAUAUCGCAUAGGUUCAUCCCUUAUUCGCUUUGCAAUACCAUUUCGACUUCCUGACGUCUUCGAGCGUACACGUCUCGUCCAAAUCCUUUACGAGAAUAAGAUAAUACUAUAGUCACUAAACAAUAUAUCGCAUAUACAUAUCACGUAUACCGAUACCCACUUAUAUACCCCUCUUUAAACUUAUCACAUAUCACUUAACACAUAAUCAUGCUUUGACUCUACCAAAUAGUCAAGUCAUAUUCCACAUAACAUAUUAUCAAUCAAUUAUCCUAUAAAUCUUAUCGAUAAUUUGACAGCGUCUCCUCUAUUUAUUAGAGUAUCCCCCUGUCAACAUAUUCCAAACAAUCAACUCCAGUCACUAUAAUCCAUAUAUUCUUAUCCAAUAUCAAUCAUACGAAUCAUUUAUCACUUCACAAUAUCAAAACUAACACGUACUUCACAUAAUCAUCACCUAAUAGCACUUAGAUCACAUAUUAUCACAUUAUGCAUACUUAUCAACAAUUAUUCACCUUAUAGACUCAGCCAUAUAGUCACAUCAUAUUAAAAUAGACGUUAUAAGCUUCUGUCUCUCUUUCGUUUCACUUGAUUCCGACUUACGGAUCAAAAGUUAUGCUCAAAACAGUUUUCUCACUCUCCUAUCGGCACAUAACACAUCCAACCAAUAGCAGACAACACACAACACAUAAGGUUUCCCAUCCCAAUUGAUAUUAAAUCAAGUCUUGGGUUAAAAAUGAUUUUUCGGGAAUUUUCCAGAAUUUUUAAACAUUUUUCGGAAUUAAAAUCGAUAAAAGAAUCACUUUUUGAAUAAAUAAUCAAGUCCGGAUGCUCAAAACUGGACUUGAAAUCAUUCAUAAACAAUUGUCGAGCCUUGAACAUAAUUUGGAAAAAUAUUUUAAAGCUCGAAACUAUUUUUCGGAAUUUUUAAAUCAAAAAGGAUUAAUUAAAUCCAAUUAAUUAAUCAAUUAAAAUCAAUUAAUAAUUAAUUAAAAUAAUUAAUCAAUUAAUAUUUAAAUUAAUUGACCAAUUAAAAUAAUUAAUUACUAAUUAAAAUUAAUUAACAAACUAAUUUAGAUUUAUUUUUGAAUAAAGAAAUAAUUAAAAACUAUUUUUGAAAUUUAAAAUAAUUAAAUAAAAACAUUUUUGAAAAUAUUUUGUAAAAGGUUUAAACUGUAAAAAUCUAAAAGUUUGCACUCGGGGUGCAAUGUGUCAAAUUCAAAAGUUUCAGGGUCGAAAACGUUUAAUAUGAAACUCGGGUACGAAGACUUCACCGUUUCCAAAAGUUGGGGGUACUAAACGGCACUUUUGCACCGCCUUCCCCCCGACUUCGCCGGAAACGGCGUCUUCCACCUCCGUUCUUUACCCAAAUCACCCAGAACUCAAGCUUAAGCCACCAGGAAGCUGAUGAACAGAUCAAUUUGCUCAAAAGCACGACCAUUUGGCCGUAUUUUCGAAACAAAAAUCACGCCGCCGCCAAGUUCUUCAACUCCGGCGAGGCUGCUACAAACCUCCUCCAUCAAAACCGAUCACACCAAUCGAUUCUACACAACCCACCGAACAUGUUCCAAUCAUCAAAACUCACCUAGACUUAACCGAACUCAGAAAUCGAAUUUUCAAUUAAAAGCUUCAAGAACAAACGAAGAACAUUCAAGCACAUACAAUCUCAGAAUCAACCUAACGUUUCAAUAUGAUUCCGAACUCCAAAUUCAACAAAUAAUAUACCAAAACGACGAGAAAAACACGCUCUACAACAUGGCAUCAUCAAAUCAAUCAAACAAGAUCAGUUACAAAAAUUUAUCAUUUAAAAAUCAAAUAAUUCGAAUUUUAUAAAAAUAAUCUAAAAUCACCUGUUGAAUCUGCACACAAACGGAUGAUUAAACUAGAUUCUACGCGUCGAUAGCUUCGUUUUGACUAUUCAUACGCCUCCAUCGGAUUCCAAUAACACCUCCAAAUCUUCGUUUGAUUAUGAAGAACACGAAGAACAUACUUCGGUUUCUCUCGGUAUUCGUGCAAAGAAACUGGUGAAAAUGAUUUUUUACGGUGAAAAUAAGUUACAAGAAAGUCUAUUUAUAUUUACAAAUAAUUGGUACCCCUUUGGAUCGUUUAUGACAUGAAAAUACGUAUUAAUAGCUUUAUAUUAAUAAAGCGGGGUCCAAUCGGUACUGGUUUUUGAGAUAAUCAUCA